rnacentral:lncRNA from 1 species
UUUAAUAUUGGAGGCACUUCCAUCUUUUCUAGACGAUAAACUGGGGCCAAUCAGAACAAACUAUACAGGAAUACGAGUAUUCACCCAGAGGUUGACAUAAGAUGGAGCACCAUGUUAGCCUCCGGAGAAGCAUACAAACUGCUUGCUCUUGCUCAACCUCACCCAGAGGUCGUGCACCUGUGAUCAAGCAGAGCCACUUGGUUUGUGAAAGCUGUAAACUGAUGGACCUGGCAAGAUGCUUGUCAUCUGCACUGCUGCAAUGAUUGCAAGGGUGAACAUGUUCUUGUUCUGGUCCAU